rnacentral:rRNA from 2 species
UGCAAGUCGAACGAUGAAGUUCCUUCGGGAAUGGACUAGUGGCGAACGGGUGAGGAACACGUGAGAAACCUGCCUUUCAUUCUGGGAUAACACCGGGAAACCGGUGCUAAUACCGGAUACUCCAUCUUGGCGGCAUCGCCGAGCUGGGAAAAAUUUUGAUGAAAGAUGGUCUCGCGGCCUAUCAGCUAGUUGGUGAGGUAAAGGCUCACCAAGGCGACGACGGGUAGCCGGCCUGAGAGGGCGACCGGCCACACUGGGACUGAGACACGGCCCAGACUCC